rnacentral:rRNA from 2 species
GGGCUGGCGGCAGCUACACAUGCAAGUCGAGCGGUAGCACAGAGAGCUUGCUCUCGGGUGACGAGCGGCGGACGGGUGAGUAAUGUCUGGGAAACUGCCUGAUGGAGGGGGAUAACUACUGGAAACGGUAGCUAAUACCGCAUAAUGUCGCAAGACCAAAGUGGGGGACCUUCGGGCCUCAUGCCAUCAGAUGUGCCCAGAUGGGAUUAGCUAGUAGGUGGGGUAACGGCUCACCUAGGCGACGAUCCCUAGCUGGUCUGAGAGGAUGACCAGCCACACUGGAACUGAGACACGGUCCAGACUCCUACGGGAGGCAGCAGUGGGGAAUAUUGCACAAUGGGCGCAAGCCUGAUGCAGCCAUGCCGCGUGUGUGAAGAAGGCCUUCGGGUUGUAAAGCACUUUCAGCGGGGAGGAAGGCGAUAAGGUUAAUAACCUUGUCGAUUGACGUUACCCGCAGAAGAAGCACCGGCUAACUCCGUGCCAGCAGCCGCGGUAAUACGGAGGGUGCAAGCGUUAAUCGGAAUUACUGGGCGUAAAGCGCACGCAGGCGGUCUGUCAAGUCGGAUGUGAAAUCCCCGGGCUCAACCUGGGAACUGCAUUCGAAACUGGCAGGCUAGAGUCUUGUAGAGGGGGGUAGAAUUCCAGGUGUAGCGGUGAAAUGCGUAGAGAUCUGGAGGAAUACCGGUGGCGAAGGCGGCCCCCUGGACAAAGACUGACGCUCAGGUGCGAAAGCGUGGGGAGCAAACAGGAUUAGAUACCCUGGUAGUCCACGCCGUAAACGAUGUCGAUUUGGAGGUUGUGCCCUUGAGGCGUGGCUUCCGGAGCUAACGCGUUAAAUCGACCGCCUGGGGAGUACGGCCGCAAGGUUAAAACUCAAAUGAAUUGACGGGGGCCCGCACAAGCGGUGGAGCAUGUGGUUUAAUUCGAUGCAACGCGAAGAACCUUACCUGGUCUUGACAUCCACAGAACUUUCCAGAGAUGGAUUGGUGCCUUCGGGAACUGUGAGACAGGUGCUGCAUGGCUGUCGUCAGCUCGUGUUGUGAAAUGUUGGGUUAAGUCCCGCAACGAGCGCAACCCUUAUCCUUUGUUGCCAGCGGUCCGGCCGGGAACUCAAAGGAGACUGCCAGUGAUAAACUGGAGGAAGGUGGGGAUGACGUCAAGUCAUCAUGGCCCUUACGACCAGGGCUACACACGUGCUACAAUGGCAUAUACAAAGAGAAGCGACCUCGCGAGAGCAAGCGGACCUCAUAAAGUAUGUCGUAGUCCGGAUUGGAGUCUGCAACUCGACUCCAUGAAGUCGGAAUCGCUAGUAAUCGUAGAUCAGAAUGCUACGGUGAAUACGUUCCCGGGCCUUGUACACACCGCCCGUCACACCAUGGGAGUGGGUUGCAAAAGAAGUAGGUAGCUUAACCUUCGGGAGGGCGCUACCACUUUGAUCAUGCG